CAAGGACUGCCCGCUGAUGAGAAGCUGCAAAACACUGUAUUAAAAACUCUUGGGACCUGAUCCUUUUCUCUCCGAUCUUGUUAAGCUUUAUUCAGAGGAAGUUUGAGUCAUAAGAUGGAGAUCUCCAGUCCCAUCUGGACUGCCCUGAUAUCGAACAUUUUCACAUGGGACUAUAACCUCAUGAAAGGAUUCUGAAAAGGACUCUUUACAAUUCUAAAGCACCAUCUCUACAGUGAAACUGACCUAAGGACUCUAUUCAUGUCUGACAGAAUCGACAAAGUGCAAGCUGAUCUCCAUAUUGGAAGAGAAGGUUCGAGGUCUGGAGAAACAAGUAUCGACCAUGCGUUGCAUACGAGAAAAUGAAGAUUUCCUGGACAGAUGUCAGGAUAUGCUUCAACGGGCACAACAUUCUGAAGAUUCGGAGCAGGCUACCCAGAAGGGACAGAGGGACGGUGAAGAAAUUUGGCAGCAUGUGACCUCCAGAAGAAGAAAGAGGAGCGUCCAUGUACCAGCAAUGGAGAUACAGGCACCAAUGAUACUGCCAAGAAUGACCUUGAGCCGAUCACUACAGACUGCGUGGCUCUGGGAAGUAGGGUAAAGGAGUUUGAGUUGCAAGUGCUGUUCUCAUCCAUCCUCCCUGUGCAGGGAAAAGGCCUGGAUAGAGACCACCGAAUUGUGGAAGUCAACGAAUGGCUACGCAGGGAGGAGCCGCCUUCUGGAGGCACCGGAGAGACAGAGUGUCGGUUUGCGGGGGCGGUGAGCCCCAGCCAUGGAGGAGCCGGCACAGCACAGGGGGCAGCAGCCCUGCAAAGGUGGUGGCGCGGCUAGCGGAGAGCAGCCGUGCCCUGCGCCCCUCCUGCCCAGGCUGCAGCCUGGCGUGCCCCUGUACGGGGAGACUUUGACAAACCAGUAAAGUGCCUAAAACCACUAUGGCUUAUUCAGGGCUGGUGCAACCAUAAGGCAAACUAAGCGACCACCUUGAGCGCCUAGUGGUUGGGGACGCAUAAAAGCAGGCUCAGUUCCAUAUCCACGUGGUGCAUGGUGCUCCAGCACCAGCAAUAUUCAGAGCCAAGGGCCCAACUCCAGCAGUACUUGGGGCCGCGUGUCCCCCCCGGCCCCACCUGCAGCCCCGCCAAGACUUCCCCAAGUGUCCCCUGGCCCCGACUUGCUGCCCCACCCCCUGCUCGCCUUUCACUGGCCCCUGGAGUCUCUGUCCGGGAGCAGAACCUGUCUGUCUUUGUUUCCUCCAUGCUGCUUCCCUGCAACAACUGCUGCUGUAGGGUCCUACUGCCCCCCUUUUCCACUGCCAGGGCAGACUGACUCUUAGCCUGCCUUUCCCACUCAGACCCUUUCAUUUUCCAAUGGGACCCUCUAGCAGCACAGGGGACCCCCCUGCCCGCAGUCACUGCUCCUGCCCCAUG